UAUAGAUAAACCCUAACUAAAAAGAUAGCUAAAGUGAAUUAAAGCUACAAUUAUCUCCAUCUCCAUGCAUGUUCCUUGCUUUGUCUCUGGUCUUUCACUUUCAAAUGUUCCUCGUGAGUACUGUAUACAUCUCUCUCUCUUUACUCUUCCUCUUUCAUGGAUUCCAUAUCCAGAAUCCAUGUCACCCACAUGUACUCACUUUGAUUUUUAGGUCCCCCUACCCUCCACAUUUUUACAUAUCUUUCUUAUGGAAUUUACAAAAGGGGUGCCUAGUCAUAAAGCAACAUGAUAUUUUGUAGGUCUUUGGGUCAAUGUGCUGGGA
rnacentral:misc_RNA from 1 species